rnacentral:rRNA from 1 species
AUUGAACGCUGGCGGCAUGCCUUACACAUGCAAGUCGAACGGCAGCACGGGUGCUUGCACCUGGUGGCGAGUGGCGAACGGGUGAGUAAUACAUCGGAACGUACCUUAUCGUGGGGGAUAACGCAGCGAAAGUUGCGCUAAUACCGCAUACGCCCCGAGGGGGAAAGCGGGGGAUCGCAAGACCUCGCGCGAUUAGAGCGGCCGAUGCCUGAUUAGCAAGUUGGUGGGGUAAAAGCCCACCAAGGCGACGAUCAGUAGCUGGUCUGAGAGGACGAUCAGCCACACUGGGACUGAGACACGGCCCAGACUCCUACGGGAGGCAGCAGUGGGGAAUUUUGGACAAUGGGGGCAACCCUGAUCCAGCAAUGCCGCGUGAGUGAAGAAGGCCUUCGGGUUGUAAAGCUCUUUUGUCAGGGAAGAAACACCGGCUCUAACACAGUCCGGGAAUGACGGUACCUGAAGAAUAAGCACCGGCUAACUACGUGCCAGCAGCCGCCGUAA